CAUGUGUGGCAUUUGGGUCCUGUUUGGCAGCAAUGACUGCCUUUCUGUUUAGUGUCUGUGUGCUAUGAAGAUUGCAAACGGGGUCCAGAUGCAUUCUGUUUUGAGAAUGUCAAUGGAUACACUAGCUGCUGCUUUGGAUUUCACCGGUUGGUGGUAGUUGACCCGCUGUUUGGAAUGCAGCCAAUUUAAGUGAAGAAAUAUCCAUACACGUGGCUCUGUUACAAUGGUGAAAUCUACAACCAUAAGACUAAGGUGCAACACUAUUUUGAAUUUGAAUACCAGACCAAAGUGGAUGGUGAGAUAAUCCUUCGUCUUUAUGACAAAGGAGGAAUUGAGCAAACAAUUUGUGUGUUGGAUGGUGUGUUUGCAUUUGUUUUACUGGAUUCUGCCAAUAAGAAAGUGUUCCUGGGCAGAGAUACAUGAGGAGUCAGACCUUCGUUUAAAGCAGUGACAGAAGAUGGAUUUUUGGCUGUAUGUUCAGAAGCUAA
rnacentral:lncRNA from 1 species